rnacentral:lncRNA from 1 species
GCUAACCCAUUUUAGAACAAUUAAUCUAAUUGGUGUCUAAGGAAAGCACUAAAGGUGGUUCUCUAAUUAGGACCUUACUCUCUGAGUAAGGGGAGCCUCCCACCUGCUUACCUAGCCAAUUGUUUGAUUGCCUAUUAUGGAUAAGCUUAAUAUUGAUAUAACACUAUUGAUAGCCUUCCUUCAUGCCUCGACAUUAUUAUAUCAAGAUCCAUGCUAGUUUGUUGUGC